GUCUUCGAGUCGUUGAUUUCACACUGCCGAGAAAAGCCUCUAGAUAGAAAAUAGGUGCCCGUACCGCAAACCGACACAGGUAGUCAAGAUGAGAAUUCUAAGGUGAGCGAGCGAACUCUCGUUAAGGAACUCGGCAAAAUGACCCCGUAACUUCGGGAGAAGGGGUGCUCUUUAGGGUUAACGCCCAGAAGAGCCGCAGUGAAUAGGCCCAAGCGACUGUUUAUCAAAAACACAGGUCUCUGCUAAACCGUAAGGUGAUGUAUAGGGGCUGACGCCUGCCCGGUGCUGGAAGGUUAAGAGGAGUGGUUAGCUUCUGCGAAGCUACGAAUCGAAGCCCCAGUAAA
rnacentral:rRNA from 1 species